AGUUAAUAAAGGAAAGGGACAGCUUGGGGGAGGGUGAGUUAGCCGAUUCCUACUGAAAGAAAACAAACCUACAAACAAGAAUUUCCAAGAAACGCAUCUUAAAUGCCGUUAGCAUGGGUAUUUUUUCAAACAGUAGAUAAAUAAUUCAAAGUCCUGGGACUUAGUGCAAAGAGAAGACAGGCUUCCGACAGGCGACAGGUGACUCGAUUUCACCUUUGUGCAGCACAUCGUUCCUUCUCUAACGUAACAAGGUGCUUUAAAACUUACUAGUCAGAUAAGGACCAUAUUGACAUGAAAGUGGACGUCUCCUUGCGUUCUUCUACCAAGUACUUGGCUCAUCUGAGGCACACAACGUUCUCUUUGCUCACGGCACUGCUUUCUCCAGAUCAGCGUCUGAGGCUGCCGAGCUCUCUGAAGAAACUCCGGGGAGAAGCUCAAGCACUACUUUUUAAAACUGGAAACCUGGCCUAUGAAAUCAGUAAGGAAAAGGAGCCAAAUGUGUCCGGUCUCUCUAUCUUCCUCCGCUCACGCCCACCUUCUCCCCUGCAACCCCCCAAUACCAUCACAAAGCAUUCGGGCUGAAAGGUUCAGUGGAACUUGAAAUAACGCUAUCAGACACGAAGCCACGGGUAAACACGCAGAAGGCAGUGGAAACCUUUGAAGCCAGUGAUGCAAAACUAGGCAGACCACAGACCUUCACUUUGGGGGAUGAAGUUCGAGUCAUCUUUCCUGCCUCACCACACAGCUGAUGUCACCCCUAUGUCUAAGAACCUGGAUAGCGACGGUGACAAUACGCUUCCAGAGCCAGCCUUCCCCAUCCUCCUCGGCGAUAAAGCAAAUGUCCUAUGCCAUGUUUGACAGAGGCCAUGCACCUUGCCGUAUGGACAUGGAGGCGCCGCAUUCUUCCAAUGACCCUCUGCAGGACGGACAGGGUCUCCGUAUUAAUAACCUAGAUGAAGUCAUCUGUUCUGGGUGACUGGACCGGGAUCGGACCCUGACCCAGGAGCAGGGAAACGCUCCCUCCUCGCUCUGAAGGGGUGAAGGAAAUGAACAUCUGCCCUUUCCAGGCAAACACUCAGAAUUUGUGAGCACGGACUCACACACUGUAUCCAUUAAAUCGGAGUAAACCGGACAGACGCUCACCUGC